rnacentral:rRNA from 2 species
AUUAAUUCGAUGCAACGCGUAGAACCUUACCUGGGUUUGACAUGGAUCGGGAGUGCUCAGAGAUGGGUGUGCCUCUUUUGGGGUCGGUUCACAGGUGGUGCAUGGCUGUCGUCAGCUCGUGUCGUGAGAUGUUGGGUUAAGUCCCGCAACGAGCGCAACCCUUGUUCACUGUUGCCAGCACGUUAUGGUGGGGACUCAGUGGAGACCGCCGGGGUCAACUCGGAGGAAGGUGGGGAUGACGUCAAGUCAUCAUGCCCCUUAUGUCCAGGGCUUCACGCAUGCUACAAUGGCUGGUACAGAGAGUGGCGAGCCUGUGAGGGUGAGCGAAUCUCGGAAAGCCGGUCUCAGUUCGGAUUGGGGUCUGCAACUCGACCUCAUGAAGUCGGAGUCGCUAGUAAUCGCAGAUCAGCAACGCUG